UAAGCGGAGGAAAAGAAACUAACAAGGAUUCCCCUAGUAGCGGCGAGCGAAGCGGGAAGAGCUCAAAUUUAUAAUCUGGCACCUUCGGUGUCCGAGUUGUAAUCUCUAGAAGUGUUUUCCGCGUUGGACCGCACACAAGUCUGUUGGAAUACAGCGGCAUAGUGGUGAAACCCCCGUAUAUGGUGCGGACGCCCAGCGCUUUGUGAUACACUUUCAAUGAGUCGAGUUGUUUGGGAAUGCAGCUCAAAUUGGGUGGUAAAUUCCAUCUAAAGCUAAAUAUUGGCGAGAGACCGAUAGCGAACAAGUACCGUGAGGGAAAGAUGAAAAGCACUUUGGAAAGAGAGUUAACAGUACGUGAAAUUGUUGGAAGGGAAACGCUUGAAGUCAGACUUGCUUGCCGGAGCUUGCUUCGGUUUGCAGGCCAGCAUCAGUUUUCCGGGGUGGAUAAUAACGGUUUGAAGGUAGCAGUCUCGGCUGUGUUAUAGCUUUCCGUUGGAUACAUCCUGGGGGACUGAGGAACGCAGCGUGCUUUUUGCGAAAGACUCGUCUUUUUCACGCUUAGGAUGCUGGUGGAAUGGCUUUAAACGACCCGUCUUGA
rnacentral:rRNA from 1 species